AGCGCUGCAACGGAGAGCAAUGAGACGGUGAAAGUCACUUCUGAUCAUCUCUUUGGGACUGCCAAAAUGAACGGCUUCUUAAAGAUGGCUUAUCUGCUGCUGCUGAAAGAACAGGAAGGUAAGCGCUGCAACGGAGAGCAAUGAGACGGUGAAAGUCACUUCUGAUCAUCUCUUUGGGACUGCCAAAAUGAACGGCUUCUUAAAAAUGGCUUAUCUGCUGCUGCUGAAAGUAACAGCAGAGGCCCUGAAUGCCACUGGGGACAGGGAAAUUGUGUUUCAUGCACAGGCCCCCCGGUUAGUCCAUCUCGGAUCUUCUCUGACACUCAACUGCAGCUUUGAUAUCAAGGAGCCAGACCAGGUCAGGGUGGACUGGUUGUUGGGAAAAACUCAGCAAUCAGAUGGCCAGGGACUCCAUAAGCUCUCUUCUGGCCUGGCCAAUGGGACAUGGGACCGGGAGACCAAGGGACCAGUCACUCAGUGGACAUCACAUACUUGGUCCAGCCUGACUCUGAGAGACAUUACAUCCAAUUACAGUGGAUGGUAUUUCUGUGAGGUUAGGAUGGAAAUUCCCCUGUAUACGCACAGCAGGAGCAGUGGCAUUGAAGUCAACAUCAUAACGUCCCCCUCCCCCGCAUCACCCCCGCGUGGGAAUACAGCCUGGUGGGUAUGGGUAAUGGUGGGUGUUGGAAGUCUCGUGCUCACUGCAGUCUCAGUUGGAAUACUAUGCAGGAGGACGAAAUGCCAGAAUAAAGAGAGUCCCAUCUAUGAGAACAUGCGUCCAGUGUGCAAGAGCACUGUCCCUCCCCAGCGUUCUCCACGCCCCAAAACAGAGCUCAUCCCCUCUCAUCUGCCCUCCUCCAUAGCCAUGGGAACACCCAAAAUGCUCUGAACACCUGGGUCCAGAACUGAGACCAGAACUGUAGACGGGCCCCUGUGGACCUGGGUCUUCGCAGAAGGACCUGUUAUACUACGCAUCAUCAGCUUCUGCACACACCCCUCUAUGUGCGAAACCUUUUCUAGGGCUCACAGUACAAAGCCCAGUGUUAAUGGAACUCAUACAGAGUUCAUAUGAGUGCAGUAGGGACCAUAUGUACUACUGUGAGAGUUUAUUUAACACUCAACACUUUACUGUGUGGUUUUCAGCACCCCUUGAGUCACCCAAGUUCCUAACUCCACCUUUCUGUUCGAGCUUUGUCGGAAGUUCUCAACCAUUGCAUUUACUGCCCACUUUAGUCAAUUAUCUUGAGCAUUUUACUUCAAGCUUAAUUUACUGAAUCAAUCCAUUUCAUGGCUGGUUGAAGCACAGAAAAUGGUCACGUCCUGCGGAACCGAGAAGAAAAGUUGAGAUCCUUGCCUAGUCCCGGGUCAUUUCCUUUUGGGACACUGCGUGGGAUCUCACUGACUUUAGGUUGUUGUACCUUUGUGCCCCACUAGGUAGCAAUCUACUAAAAGACCAAAACUAUGGGGAAGAUUAAUACCGUGAAUUUAAAGCGUGUAUUCCUUUAUCCCAUCGUCUAGCCACCAUAUUGUGCAAUUCGGUUUUUCUUUUGGAUGUUUGCCAGUUUUUGUGAUUUGUGCUGGUACAGGCAGUCUAAAGAUCUCUGCAUGAAUGUAGCUACACUCCUGUGCAUUAUCAAGAUUAUAUAUGUGUGUGUGUG